rfam:Geosporobacter subterraneus DSM 17957 genome assembly, contig: EJ58DRAFT_scaffold00040.40
AGUUUAGUUUUCUAGGGUUCCGCAGUUUAUAACUGGCUGGUCCGAGAGAAGACGCACAGAUAACUGUGUACACGGAAGGAUAAAAGCCUGGGAGAU